UAAUUACCGAUGAAGACUGAUGCAGCCGGGUUCGAAAUUUAAAUACUUUUCCAAAAAAAAAUCAAAUUUAACGAAAUCGGUUAAAAGUAUUGAAAUUUCGAACCCGGCUGCAUCAGUCUUCAUCGG
rnacentral:pre_miRNA from 1 species